AUUGAACGCUGGCGGCAGGCCUAACACAUGCAAGUCGGACGGUAGCACAGAGGAGCUUGCUCCUCGGGUGACGAGUGGCGGACGGGUGAGUAAUGUCUGGGGAUCUGCCCGAUAGAGGGGGAUAACUACUGGAAACGGUGGCUAAUACCGCAUAACGUCGCCAGACCAAAUAGGGGGACCUUCGGGCCUCCCGAUAUCGGAUGAACCCAGAGUGGAUUAGCUAGUAGGCGGGGUGACGGCCCACCUAGGCGACGAUCCCUAGCUGGUCUGAGAGGAUGACCAGCCACACUGGAACUGAGACACGGUCCAGACUCCUACGGGAGGCAGCAGUGGGGAAUAUUGCACAAUGGGCGCAAGCCUGAUGCAGCCAUGCCGCGUGUAUGAAGAAGGCCUUCGGGUUGUAAAGUACUUUCAGCGGGGAGGAAGGCAAUGUAGUUAAUAACCGCAUUGAUUGACGUUACCCGCAGAAGAAGCACCGGCUAACUCCGUGCCAGCCGCCGCCGUAA
rnacentral:rRNA from 1 species